rnacentral:rRNA from 1 species
UACGUAGGGUGCAAGCGUUAUCGGAAUUACUGGGCGUAAAGCGUGCGCAGGCGGUUAUGUAAGACAGGUGUGAAAUCCCCGGGCUCAACCUGGGAACUGCCUUUGUGACUGCAAGGCUUGAGUGCGGCAGAGGGGGAUGGAAUUCCGCGUGUAGCAGUGAAAUGCGUAGAUAUGCGGAGGAACACCGAUGGCGAAGGCAAUCCCCUGGGCCUGCACUGACGCUCAUGCACGAAAGCGUGGGGAGCAAACAGG